GUUAGAACCCUUGCAGAUUCUAAACUUGGGGUUGAUCUCUUUAGGGGAUCGGCCUCCUUGGAACUCUAUAGGGGUUCCUCCCUCCAAGUUGCUGCUCAAAGGCUGUAGAAAAGAUUCAUCUAUUGCUUAAGAAAAGAGAAGGAAUACAUGACUAUUUAUAGGGCUUCUAAACCCUAACUCCUAAUAGGACUCCUAUUUAAGACUCUUACUUCUAACCAACUCCUAAUAGAACUCCUACUCAAGACUCCUAUUCCCUUACAACUCCUAAUUCUUCUCUAAGAAAAAACCUCCUAACCCUAGCCCGCCUCUUCAUCUCUUUAAUAGGGGUCGGUUUAGGUAGGUUUUAUAUGAAUGUCCCUCUCAAUUAGGACUCUCCUAGCUAGAGUCCUAACAGACCCGCCCUCUUCAAAUCAGCCUUGUCCUCAAGGCUGAGAUUCCAUGAACUCAGGGAACCGGGUCUUCAGCUCCUCAUAUGGUUCCCAUGUGGCGUCUUCAAGUGGUAAAUUAUUCCAAUGCACUAGUACUUCAGUAGAAGGGCGUCGGCAACGCAUCACGAUCCUGCGAUCGAGGAUGGCUUGUGGUUGAGCUUGAAUAACUCCAUCCUCAGUGGUGUUGGGUAG
rnacentral:lncRNA from 1 species